rnacentral:rRNA from 1 species
UACGGGGGGGGCAAGCGUUGUUCGGAAUUACUGGGCGUAAAGGGCUCGUAGGCGGCCAACUAAGUCAGACGUGAAAUCCCCAGGCUUAACCUGGGAACGGCAUCCGAUACUGGAGGGCUUGAAUUCGGGAGAGGGAUGCAGAAUUCCAGGUGUAGCGGUGAAAUGCGUAGAUAUCUGGAGGAAUACCGGUGGCGAAGGCGGCAUCCUGGACCGAGAUUGACGCUGAGGAGCGAAAGCUAGGGGAGCAAACGGGG